AGCAGUCGCCACGGUAAUACGUAGGGUGCAAGCGUUAAUCGGAAUUACUGGGCGUAAAGGGCUCGCAGGCGGUUUCUUAAGUCUGAUGUGAAAGCCCCCGGCUCAACCGGGGAGGGUCAUUGGAAACUGGGAAACUUGAGUGCAGGAGAGGAGAGUGGAAUUCCACGUGUAGCCGUGAAAUGCGUAGAUAUCAGGAGGAACACCUGUGGCGAAAGCGGCUCACUGGACCAUAACUGACGCUGAGGCACGAAAGCUAGGGGAGCAAACAGGAUUAGAGACCCGCGUAGUCCCUGUCUCUUAUAC
rnacentral:rRNA from 1 species